CCUACGGGAGGCAGCAGUGGGGAAUAUUGCACAAUGGGGGAAACCCUGAUGCAGCGACGCCGCGUGCGUGAAGAAGUAAUUCGUUAUGUAAAGCUCUAUCAGCAGGGAAGUAAAUGACGGUACCUGAGUAAGAAGCCCCGGCUAACUACGUGCCAGCAGCCGCGGUAAGACGGAGGGGGCAAGCGUUAUCCGGAUUUACGGGGUGUAAAGGGAGCGUAGACGGCAGUGCAAGUCUGGAGGGAAAGGCGGGGGCUCAACCCCCGGACUGCUCUGGAAACUGGACGGCUGGAGUGCAGGAGAGGUAGGUGGAAUUCCUAGUGUAGCGGUGAAAUGCGUAGAUAUGAGGAAGAACACCGGUGGCGAAGGCGGCUUACUGAACUGUAACUGACGUUGAGGCUCGAAAGCGUGGGGAGCGAACAGGAUUAGAUACCCCUGUAGUC
rnacentral:rRNA from 1 species